ensembl:rRNA 5S_rRNA 5S ribosomal RNA
UCCAGCCACACCACCGUGAAUGUGCCCAGUUUCGUCUGAUCUCAGAAGCCAAGCAGGGUCGGGCCUGGUUAGUACCAGGAUAGGAAAAGCAGAAUUGUACUUGGUGAAGGAACCAGAUUGCCUGGAU